CUUAGAAAAAGUAAUGUUAUGCCCAGGACACGGGGCCUCCGAAAAUGACCACCACAGAACCAAGUGCCCAUGCAAACACACCCACACCGGGCUUUAAUAAGAACAGUCCAGCAGCACUGGCACCUAACCGGAGAGAGGAAAGCUCCGAACCAGCAGGGGAGUGGACUUACAAAGGGAAAAACACAGGCUAGGGGAGUGCAAGCCUGGGCAUUUUCUGAUUGGCUCAGUGGGGGAUGCUUCCUGGGUCGAUUGGCCCUGGGGUUAGGACAGAUUAUUCGAGAGAAAAGAAUUGUAGAAGCGGCAAACAGAAAAGAGCUAGACUAUGAAGCAGGAGACAUCCCAACAGAGUGGGAAGCAUGGAUUAGAAGAACAAGAAAGACUCCGCCUACUAUGGAGUAUAUGCUUCAUGAAAGGGAAAAGGAAGUUCGAAACACCAAUAAAGAAAAGCCAGUCAAAACUGCUUGGAAAUGGUGCCGCUGUAGUUGAGGAUGUGUAGAUGCACUCAUCAUGGCUUUGGAUCCUUGCUACACCAUGGUCUUGGCUCUGGGCUGGAAGUUCCAAAGACUCAUUUUGUCCAAUGGUCAUGGAAUUGAUACGUGAACUCCAUGUACUGGUUUACAAUGGGAAACUAUCAAAGCACAGAGCAGAAGCUUGCUGUUGGACUAUAGUCAGACGCUGCCAGCCCGGCAGGCUUUCAUUGGUUUCACCUUCCCACGCCUCUGCUCUGGCCUGUAAUGUGUCGAUUUUGCAGCUUAACAUUCAGAGAAGAAUAUUGCUUCUGAAUUCUCGAUACCUAUUUCAGUGUUUUCUCCAAGUGACUGACAUUGACGGAGUUCUCUGUGCUCAGUGUUAUUAGGAUCAUUCUAUAAGUUGCCAAAAUAAAAUGUCUAACGGUUGA